UUGAAUCACUUAGCUAACCAAAGUCAAAUAAUUUCACAUUCUUUCGGUGAGUUCAAAUAGUUAUUGAAUGGAACUUUUGUCCACUGGCACCCACAUUCAUAAACACUUUCUGAAUAUCCCAAAGAUAGUGACUUCAACCUAAGUACAAAAGCAAAGGGGGAGAAAAGUAAGAAAACUUAGGGAGAGAAAAACAGGAAUGUUGCUUGGAAACUUCAAAACUUAGGCUUUUAAAUAAAGGAAACAGCAAAAGAGAGGGUUGGAUGGAAGAAGGGGGUGGGGAAAGAGACAUUUCCUUCCCACGGACCUAGAGUGUCUAUGUAUUGGACCAAACCAGGCCAGAAGGCCAUAUUUUGAAGAGAUUGAAAAGCAAUGACCUGACCUUACAGGGAUCACAAGGGUGUUAAUCCAAAAGAGUAUAGUCUGCCCAUGGGACA
rnacentral:lncRNA from 1 species